GUCUACAGCCAUCCACCCUGAACAAGCCCAAUAUCUGAUCUCGGAAGCUAAGCAGGGUUGGGCCUGGUUAGUACUUGUAUGGGAGACCACCUAGGACAACCAGGUGCUGUAGGCA
rnacentral:rRNA from 1 species